GGAGUUAGCCGGUGCUUCUUCUGUGAGUGAUGUCCUUCCUGCCGGCUAUUAACCCGCAGGCCUUCUUCCUCACUGAAAGUGCUUUACAACCCGAAGGCCUUCUUCACACACGCGGCAUGGCUGGAUCAGGGUUGCCCCCAUUGUCCAAUAUUCCCCACUGCUGCCUCCCGUAGGAGUCUGGGCCGUGUCUCAGUCCCAGUGUGGCUGAUCAUCCUCUCAGACCAGCUACGGAUCGUCACCUUGGUGAGCCGUUACCUCACCAACCAGCUAAUCCGACAUAGGCUCAUCCGAUAGCGCGAGGCCCGAAGGUCCCCCGCUUUCCCCCGUAGGGCGUAUGCGGUAUUAGCCUGGGUUUCCCCAGGUUAUCCCCCACUACCGGGCAGAUUCCUAUGCAUUACUCACCCGUCCGCCGCUCGCCACCAGGGAGCAAGCUCCCCGUGCUGCCGCUCGACUUGCAUGUGUUAGGCCUGCCGCCAGCGUUCAAUCUGAGCCAUGAUCAAACUCUGA
rnacentral:rRNA from 1 species